CCGGCCCCGCGCGUCGCAGACCUGUAGGAGUUGAAACCGUAGGGGCUGGUUCGGCGGCCGUUUGCCUGAGAACCGGUGGUCUUAAAGGGCUGGCGCGUCCACCAUGUUCUGCGAGAGGGCCAUAGAGCUGGUCCGCGAGCUGCACCGCGCGGCCGAGGGAAGGCUGCCGGCCUUCAACGAGGAUGGACUCAGGCAGGUUCUGGAGGAGAUGAAAGCUUUAUAUGAACAAAACCAAUCUGAUGUGAAUGAAGCGAAGUCAGGUGGACGAGGUGAUUUGAUACCAACCAUCAAGUUUCGACACUGUUCUUUGUUAAGAAAUCAGCGCUGCACUGUAGCAUACCUGUAUGACCGAUUGCUUCGGAUUAGAGCACUCAGGUGGGAAUGUGGCAGUGUCUUGCCAAGUGCUUUACGAUUUCACAUGUCUGCUGAAGAAAUGGAAUGGUUCAACCAUUACAAAAAGUCCCUUGCUACCUACAUGAGGUCGUUGGGAGGAGAUGAAGGUUUGGACAUCACACAGGAUAUGAAACCUCCAAAAAGCCUAUACAUAGAAGUGCGGUGUCUAAAAGACUAUGGAGAAUUUGAAGUUGAUGAUGGUACUUCAGUCCUAUUAAAAAAAAAUAGCCAGCACUUUCUACCUCGGUGGAAGUGCGAGCAGCUGAUUAGACAAGGCAUCCUGGAGCACGUGCUAUCGUGACCUCGCGCCAGAUGGCUGCUAAGGCUUCCGCCGUUCGAGGCUGGACCCAACCAAGGACACUUCUCCACCUCCCUCUCCACCUCCCCCAGGCCCACCACUUUUUGGUUUUAAAAUUUAGACUUUCUUUAACCAGGAAUGCUUGGCCAAGGAGUAUGGUUUGUUUUUCUUUUUCUUUUUUUUCAUUUGAACCUUAGUUUCUCUUUUAUUUAAUUUCCAAAUAUAAUUCUGUAACCUUCCAUGGUAAACAUAUUUUUGAAUCUGUGGUGUAUGCUUGCAUUUUGAAGCAUCAGUUCUCAAUAGAGAGUUUGAAUUCUUGCUAUACAGAGACUCCACGUAUCCAAUCUGCUGUCCACAGUUCUAGAGGGAAGUGCAGGAUCAAUCAAGGCUCUAGCAGAUUCUGUGCCUAAAGAGAGUGCUUCCUAGUUCAUACACCGCCAUCUUCUCAUUCUGUGCUCACAAGGUGGAAGUGGUUUAUUUUUCUAUUGUACAGGAUUCUCCCCUUUGUGUGGUUGUAUCUGUAAUCACAACAUUCCUACAAUUCCCAAAAUACUAUAUACAGUUCCCAAAAUACUAUAGUGUGUUUUUGUUUAAUGAAAGUAAAUUAUCAGUAUUACAUUUUAAUCUCCUUUAAACAAUGAGGAAGUUUCACCUGGCUGUAUAGGGAGAUAGGAGGUCCUUGUGCAUCUUGUGUUGCUGGAAGUGUGCAUUGUGCAAGCUGGGGAGCUGAAUUUCUGCAAUUCGUGUUCCCAAAUCACAUGGGCAGGUGGAGCUGAUGGCCUAUAAAAUUUUCAGUGUAUUUAAUGUUUAAUAACAUGUUAACUUAUCACCUGGCUGCUUAGGAAGAAAAGAAGGACACAGUGGAUUUUGCCCAUUUACAGCAGUGGUGGCUGGUCUGGCUCGUGCCUGUCUGUGAGCUUGUUGGCACGUGGAACCAUGUGCAGGUGAUCCUAGAGUCCGUGUGAAUCAGCCAUGAGGACAGACAGCAGUGAAGGCCAU